AGCGAACGCUGGCGGCAGGCUUAACACAUGCAAGUCGAGCGGGCAUCCUUGUGGUGUCAGCGGCAGACGGGUGAGUAACGCGUGGGAACGUGCCCUUCGGUUCGGAAUAACUCAGGGAAACUUGAGCUAAUACCGGAUACGUGCGAGAGCAGAAAGGUUUAUCUGCCGAAGGAUCGGCCCGCGUCUGAUUAGCUAGUUGGUGAGGUUACGGCUCACCAAGGCGACGAUCAGUAGCUGGUCUGAGAGGAUGAUCAGCCACACUGGGACUGAGACACGGCCCAGACUCCUACGGGAGGCAGCAGUGGGGAAUAUUGGACAAUGGGGGCAACCCUGAUCCAGCCAUGCCGCGUGAGUGAUGACGGCCUUAGGGUUGUAAAGCUCUUUUCUCCGGGACGAUAAUGACGGUACCGGAGGAAUAGGCCCCGGCUAACUUCGUG
rnacentral:rRNA from 1 species